UACGUAGGGUCCGAGCGUUGUCCGGAAUUACUGGGCGUAAAGAGCUCGUAGGCGGUGUGUCGCGUCGGCCGUGAAAACCUGGGGCUCAACUCUGGGCGUGCGGUCGAUACGGGCAUCACUUGAGUUCGGCAGGGGAGACUGGAAUUCCUGGUGUAGCGGUGAAAUGCGCAGAUAUCAGGAGGAACACCGGUGGCGAAGGCGGGUCUCUGGGCCGAUACUGACGCUGAGGAGCGAAAGCAUGGGUAGCGAACAGG
rnacentral:rRNA from 1 species